AGUCACAUGACAUCUGGAGGAGGGAAUGCACCUUACUAAAGCCAAGGGUCUCUCUGUGUAGCCCCGGCAGGCUGUCCUGGAACUUACUCUAUAGACCAAGCUGGCCGCAAACUUGCAGAGAUCUGCCCACCGCUGCAGAGGUGGUGUGCACCACCACCACCCAGUUUAAAUACAUUUUAAAAAGGAGGUUCUUGUAAGGUAAAACUGUCUACAAAACAAGCUUGUGGAGACAGAGAACGUUUCUGACUAUAAAUAUGGCUAGGAAUUCCUUCAGGGGACAUUUGGAGGUUAUAUUGGUGUGGUUACCACGGAUGUCAUAAACUUUGAUAGAGUUCUCCUCUCCUGGGUCUGAUUGUUCCUGGAAAUGAGUCUCCUUUUAUUACAGAAUAGCUGUCUUAAUGAAGUUAUAUGAAGGAGCACACCCAAUGGUUUUGGUUUUUUUUUUUUGUUUGUUUGUUUGUUUUUUUUUUAUGAACAUUAAGGGAGAUUUUUUUUUCUUUUUGAUCUUUUUAAACUGUGUUCAGUAUUCCAUUUAAGCAAGCCUUUACCCAUUCUACAGACCUUUUUAAGGAGUUAAAAGGAGGUGAAGCAUUGAACAAUAUUUUUAUUACUACCCCACAUUUCUAUA
rnacentral:lncRNA from 1 species